rnacentral:rRNA from 1 species
AUGGGGCGACGGGGCGGACAGCGAUGCCGGCGUUCUUCUCGAGCGAAUUUGACCUCGACCUCGACCUCGACCUCGACCUCGACGGGGCAACGAGGUGGAAAGCGUCGCCGGCCUCCUCCUCCGGCUAAUUCGUUUGUCAGUAUAGCUGCUGAUUUGGGGAAUCAUGGGUUGAUCAUGGUGUUGUUUGAGACACCCUCGGGCUUUGCAAUUUUCUAUUUUGACGGGAUCAGCCUCUACGAACCAGAUGCCAUGGAGAAUAUAUGGGCGCACUUCGUCACGGAAUAUAGGGCAAGACAUGUCAUUUGGCGAAAAGACUUUCAAGUUUUUAAGGACAAGUCUGAUGCCAUUAACCAUGAUAGUGGUCUUAACAAUCAGCUUACUAACAUGCUCUUGAAGUGGUACCAACCUGGGCAGAAACUUGCUGUUGGCAAGAUUGAGUAUAAAAUAGUCAUUGAAGCAAACUUGGGAAUAUCCUGCCUGUUUGAUGAACCUGUAAUGGAGCUGAUGCGUGGGCUGAACUAUCUCAUGCAUAGUGUAGUUCCUGAAGAAAAAUCAAAGCUAGCCGAGGAGCACUGCCUCCAGACGAGUCAAGGGCUGAAAAUGCUCCUUCAUCGUUAUGGCUUUGAUAUAAAACCGGAGUUGGUUAAUGAUUGCAUUAUUGUGACAGCAUGCAACUUAUAUGAUUCUGAUUGUUGUUUAAAGAAUCAAUUUAAGAGUUUGCGCCUUGCUAGUCACUUCCUUCAGGAUGUCUCAUCCAUUAAUUCUCAAGACUGGGACAUAUUGAAACUUGCAACAGCUCUGAAGAUGGUAUGUUACCCUGAAGACGAUAUCUUGUUUGGUAAUCCUGAUGAGAUGUUUUCAACAGAUGAGUUAUCAAAGUUAGUGGCUGAUGCACAUAAGUACGAAGACAGUGGGAUCAUUAAAGGAGCUAUUUUGAGGCUCUAUAAUUUAGUGGUGUAUCUCCUUAAUUGUAAGGCAAAGUAUCAGAGGAGAUUGGCCUCCUUCGUCAAGGAGGCUAAAGAAUCAUAUGAAGCUGAGCAAGUUGUUAGAGAGAGGGGUUCCCUUCGAACUGAUGCUUUUGAAGCGGACAUACAAGAAGUUGGGGUACAAAUGGUUGCAGGAUAA